rnacentral:siRNA from 1 species
AACACUCCGGUUUCAGGAAUAUGG